GCUGAAUUAUUCAUGUGGGCAGCCAAGGCUGUGAUUGGACUGGUUGUGCUAUUUGCAUGCAUCAGACAUGCUGUUUGUCUGUUUGCUAACAUUCCUCAUUCAAAGACUUGUUAACUAGCAGACGGCUUAGCUGGAGCCUUCCAGACAGCCUCAUGGCCUCCUUUUGUUGCAGGCAUGCCAGGCCUGGGCCCAGCCCAUGGCGGCCAGGCGAGGUAGCAGCGGCCGUGGGCUGGGGCUCUGGGCUGGGUCUUGGCUGGGCUACAAGAGGGACUGCCUGGAGAGUCACUGGGCCUGCCUGCCUGGCUGCUUUACCACAGCUGCCAGGGACACAGAGGAUGAUGGCUUUCUGUUCUCCUCAACAGAUACUGUAUGUGGAUGCCGCAGGAAAGAAAAGAGAGGAAGAGAGAACCUGCUUAGAAUUUCACCUCCGGAUUCGGAAUGUUUCGGAAUCGCCUCUACUGUGGAAUAUCUGUAGACAGAGCUACCUGACGAGCUGCUGUGAGCAUGAUGGAGGGAGGAGGAGGAGGGAGGAGGCGGUAGGCCAGUGUAUUCCCCUCUCUCUCUCUCUCUCUGUUCAUUAGGGAGCAGGUGAGAAACAUUAACAGCAGCAGCUGCACUGCUCUGCACAUGUGGUUGAGGGCUUGAGCUAGUCCACCCCACUUUCUGUCUGUCCACCAGUGGAAACUCACUCCUUUCUGGGAAAUGCCUAGUGUACACCAGUUACCAGGAAUGCAUUUAGUAAAGGUUUCCUGGACACACAUUAAGCCCAGUCCUGUACUAAAUAGCUCUUUAAAUGGAGAUUCUCUAUUAAAUAUGCUUUUUACUUCUGGAAAACUGUCCCAUUGACACUUCAGACAAUCCCAGUUUCUCUGUUAGAGGUGGUUAGAGGAGAAUGAAUCUGUGAUUAUGUGUUUAUGUUUAAUUCUUUCUAAACAAAAGAAAGAAAGUUCCACACUCUGCUCCCACACUCUGCUCCCACACUCUGCUCCCACACUCUGCUCCCACACUCUGCUCCCACACUCUGCUCCCAAAAAUGUAACGAGUAAACAUAACCAACGUUGCAGCAUGCGGAGUUACAACAUUAAUGCUUGAACCAGGUUGCUUUUCACUAUGUUUUUAUCCUAACCAUUUUUCUGUGUUUACUGAGGUGUUGUUGAAGCUGUCUUCCUGACUUAGCUGACUGGGACCAUGGUACUGGAGGACCAGAGUAGACUGACGGGUCUAUCACUGUCCUUUGGGGUGAGGUAGUAGGUUGUAUAGUUUUAGGGUCAUACCCUUCCUGUCAGAUAACUAUACAACUUACUGUCUUUCCUGAGGUGGCUGCAAUAUCAUCCAUCAUCUCUGCAGAGCUCUCGUCACUUGGACCUCAAUAGGAAUAGGUAUUAUGUACUAAUUCAAGUUUAUAACAUGUUUGUAAUGUCAUUUAUAUUGUAUCUAUGCAUCAUUUGGUUCUGUUCUGGCUCUUUGCAUACUAUAUUUAUUAUUUUGCCAUGAAACUGCUCUGCCUCUAUGAUGUUCGCACGGGGUGAGGUAGUAGGUUGUGUGGUUUCAGGGUAGUGAUUUUGCCCCAUCAGGAGAUAACUAUACAAUUUACUGCCUUCCCUGAAGGGCAGCAAGACUUCACCAGACAACAGCAGAGGCCACCAUUGGCACCACAUGAUACUCUAGCAUGGAAAAUAGGUAUUCAUUGAGGUAUCUAGGUAUAAAAUAGUUAUCUAUCUGUUAAUCAGCUCCAGAGGACACAGGAGCAUUUCAGGUAAAGUCUACUGACAAUCUAUGAUUACCAUGUAGCUAACAUGUUAUUGGAUAACUUUGAAAUGGUAUGUUUUCAAAUUAGUAAUAAAAAUUAUUAUUUUAUAAAUGUCGUCCGUACCUUGUCUUUCUUUUUGCUGUGUUUGGAUUUGUUAAAUGAUAAUAUUCAAAUGGCACUCGCACAUCUGAGCUAUCUUUUUUGCAGGUGCAUGGUAAUAAGAUGAGAAAAAACUGCAACCCCAUUCGAUGCAUUGAACGGAUGUGGGUGGAGCUAUGUCUACAUAAGGGUGCUCAUUUAAAAAAACUCACAAAAGCUCUGACGAAGGCCUUGAGGCUGAUACGUAAAGCUUAUUGAAGAGCAGUGAUACUAUUUUAAUUUAACUAGGCAAGUCAGUUAAGAACAAAUUCUUAUUUACAAUGACGGCCUACCCUGGCCAAACCCAGACAAUGCUGGGCCAAUUGUGCGCCGCCCUAUGGGACUCCCAACCACGGCCUAAUGUGAUACAGCCUGGAUUCAAACCAGGGACUGUAGUGAUGCCUCUCGCACUGAGAUGCAGUGCCUUAGACCGCUGUGCCACUCAGGAGCCCAUACUAGCAAGAGCAGUGUGCGGGUUUGUUAUUUUUUCUCAUCUUAAAUGAUAAUAUGAAAGUCUUUGAUGCGUAUGUGCAUCAAAUGAUGGUAAGAGGGACCUGCUAAAUGACAAAAACAAAUGUUUUCAUUAACUGUGUCCUUGCUUUAUUAAAGCUCAUCUGAAAAAAACUGCAGAGUGAAGUAUAUAUUACCUCAACAGCAGGUCAAGUACAGAUUUGAAACGUAUGGCACACCAAGGGUUUCGGAUCGCAAGUACAUGUGCCAGUAAACUACUCAGACACAAUUUGCAUUGAUAUACAGUGUCUUCGGAAAGUAUUCAGACCCCU
ensembl:lncRNA